AACGAACGCUGGCGGCAUGCCUAACACAUGCAAGUCGAACGAGACCUUCGGGUCUAGUGGCGCACGGGUGCGUAACGCGUGGGAACCUGCCCUUAGGUUCGGAAUAACUCCCCGAAAGGGGUGCUAAUACCGGAUAAUGUCUUCGGGCCAAAGAUUUAUCGCCUUUGGAUGGGCCCGCGUUGGAUUAGCUAGUUGGUAGGGUAAAAGCCUACCAAGGCGACGAUCCAUAGCUGGUCUGAGAGGAUGAUCAGCCACACUGGGACUGAGACACGGCCCACACUCCUACGGGAGGCAGCAGUGGGGAAUAUUGGACAAUGGGCGAAAGCCUGAUCCAGCAAUGCCGCGUGAGUGAUGAAGGCCUUAGGGUUGUAAAGCUCUUUUACCCGGGAUGAUAAUGACAGUACCGGGAGAAUAAGCUCCGGCUAACUCCGUG
rnacentral:rRNA from 1 species